CCUGUACAUUGGGAAGCAAUUGCUCCUAUUUUACUCCAACGAGACGAUCAGGAGAGAUUUGCUACGUUUGCCUAAAAAGUGUCUUGACAAAAGUGAAGUGCGACAGAGGAAACUAUCAAUGCUUAAUUGCGACCACAUAAUUGAAAUACGAAGUCAAACUUCGUCAUCGUAGAAAGCAAAGCAAAGCUGCUUUCUUCGUGGUUCCUACAAAGCUCUCAGGUUGAAUAUGUUCUUCGACAACCAACAGAGCUUUUCAAGAAUGAAG